UACGUAGGGUGCGAGCGUUAAUCGGAAUUACUGGGCGUAAAGCGUGCGCAGGCGGUUUUGUAAGCCAGAUGUGAAAUCCCCGGGCUUAACCUGGGAAUGGCAUUUGGGACUGCAGGGCUGGAGUGCGGCAGAGGAGACUGGAAUUCCUGGUGUAGCAGUGAAAUGCGUAGAUAUCAGGAGGAAUACCGAUGGCGAAGGCAGGUCUCUGGGCUGACACUGACGCUCAUGCACGAAAGCGUGGGGAGCAAACAGG
rnacentral:rRNA from 1 species